CGUGNAAUNCACGGGUAACCUAACAGGUAACCGUAACCCCCAGCUUGCUGGGUGGAAGAGUGGCGAACGGGUGAGUAACACGUGAGCAACCUGCCCUUCACUCUGGGAUAAGCACUGGAAACGGUGUCUAAUACUGGAUAUGCACAAUGGCCGCAUGGUCUGUUGUGGGAAAGAUUUAUCGGUGAAGGAUGGGCUCGCGGCCUAUCAGUUUGUUGGUGAGGUAGUGGCUCACCAAGGCGACGACGGGUAGCCGGCCUGAGAGGGUGACCGGCCACACUGGGACUGAGACACGGCCCAGACUCCUACGGGAGGCAGCAGUGGGGAAUAUUGCACAAUGGGCGCAAGCCUGAUGCAGCAACGCCGCGUGAGGGAUGACGGCCUUCGGGUUGUAAACCUCUUUUAGUAGGGAAGAAGCGAAAGUGACGGUACCUGCAGAAAAAGCACCGGCUAACUACGUGCCAGCAGCCGCGGUAAUACGUAGGGUG
rnacentral:rRNA from 1 species